rnacentral:rRNA from 1 species
UACGUAGGGGGCUAGCGUUGUCCGGAUUUACUGGGCGUAAAGAGCGCGCAGGCGUCUUGCAAGUCGCGUGUGAAAGCCCCCGGCUCAACUGGGGAGGGUCACGCGAUACUGCUCGACUCGAAGGCAGGAGAGGGAAGUGGAAUUCCCGGUGUAGUGGUGAAAUGCGUAGAUAUCGGGAGGAACACCGGUGGCGAAGGCGGUUCUCUGGGCCUUACCUGACGCUGAGGAGCGAAAGCGUGGGAAGCGAACAGG